UACAGAGGGGGCAAGCGUUGUUCGGAAUUACUGGGCGUAAAGGGCGCGUAGGCGGCCUUCUAAGUCGAACGUGAAAUCCCCGGGCUCAACCCGGGAACUGCGUCCGAUACUGGAAGGCUUGAAUCCGGGAGAGGGAUGCGGAAUUCCAGGUGUAGCGGUGAAAUGUGUAGAUAUCUGGAGGAACACCGGUGGCGAAGGCGGCAUCCUGGACCGGCAUUGACGCUGAGGCGCGAAAGCCAGGGGAGCAAACGGG
rnacentral:rRNA from 1 species